rnacentral:lncRNA from 1 species
AGCUGAGGGACUGUCACGUUUAUUCCGAAUUCCUCUUUCUCCCAGACCAAGUCUGUACUACAUUCCUGGUCCUGCCUUUCAUCCUGAACCUUCACGCUCUGACACCGGUUGCCUUGGUUUGUAGGGUUAGGCAAGUCCCUGGAAGCCUGGUGCUACCCUGACCAGACGCGGAAGUGGCUUGGAUAUUCAUCAACUACCCAACAGAUGGACAGUCAAAAGAAAGACGCUGACCACCAAGUGCGGUCGAUGAGAAUCUUAUUUUCCAAAUUGUGUCAUAGCGGUAGGACCACCUCAUUAGGGCGUCUAGAAGAGUACCCGAUGUGGCAUGGACAAGUUUAUCUCAUAUGCAUUCGCUUCUGUCAGUCAUCCAUCCACUGUCAGUGACUCUCACACAUGCCCCUAAAAACCAGUGUGCUGUCGUCCAACAGCCAGCAUUCAAAGCUUUCGUUGUCACUAUCGUAUUUGAACCUCCAAGCAGCCCACGGGUCACCAAAGCAAAUAUCAAAGUUUGGGGAAAGCAAAAUAGUUUGUUCCAAGCCAGAGAAAACUCUUGGAUUUAAAUACCGAGGCUGUCUGACUUUUGUAUCCAACCUGUCUCCACUCUGCAUCUCCAGGUUGAGCCCUGUCCCGCCACAUGGGAAGAGUAAAUGAAGAAAGAGACUGGAGUCUCUCCUCCAGCAUGGUGAGGGACUAGGUAUUCCUGCAGCUGGAGGAGCCACCUGUUUCCCAGGCUGUGCCCCUCCCUCUAGUUGGUCAGGACCUGCCCCUGGAGCUUGCUGGGGCAUGCUUCUCUUAUAAUGGAGGCACUGUUCAAGCUAGAUGGGCAGAGCCUCGCAUGGACGGCAGCCAGGAGCAUCCAAUGGCAACAAACAGCAAGUUUAGGAGAGAUACACGUGGGAAAAACGUCAGUUUAAUGAGAGCCGCCAACCCAGGGCUGGGAAUUCUUCUUGGAAUGAAAUCUCAAAAAUAUGAGAGCCAAGGGAACUGGAAGAGACAGAAAAACUCCCAUCUACACUGGAGAAGGUCCUAUCGCCUCCUUGGAAGACAAAUGCAGAAUGGGAGAAGUCUACUUUGUUGGCACCAGGACCAGUGAAACCUGUGACAUCACAUAGGCGGGAGCUGCAGACCUGUUGCCAAGACAUCAGCCACCAUAUUCUCAGAAU